UCGUCCGACGGGGGGGGGGCUACCGGCGCUGUUUAGCUAGGUCGUCCGACGGGGGGGGCGGCUACCGGCGCUGUUUAGCUAGGUCGUCCGAGUCCGACUGGGACGCCGUAGUUAAGGCGGCAGGCUGCAAAGUGCUGCGGGAAACCGUGGUGUUAGCUAGCUAGUUCUUUGUUGCGUUGUCGACAGUUUCAAGAUGAUUUGUGCACGCCCGCGUUUGUUUUUCGUCAGUAAUGAAGGCCUGCGCCAUUAAUAUGGCAGAUAUACCGACUGCUGCAGCUAUGUUUCUGCUGUGGAAGUCCUAGAUAUGUUGGAAAAUUAAACUGCGUCACGUCUGGAUUAGUAACCUCAUCUGGUGGAACGAACCAGCCUUCUCAACUGCAGUUUCAGGAUGUUGCUGAAGGUGAAAUGCAAUGGUAUCAAGAAGUACAUCAAAUUGCCCUCAGGCUUCACCUAUUCAGAAUUCAUCAGGGAAGUCAAAAACAAGUUUGGGCUUCCUGAUGUAGCUCAACUUGACAUUUUUGAUGAUACUGACACAGCAGUAGAGGAAGACAUUCUUCUAGAGCUGUUGGAGGCCAAUCCAGACAUGUGCCUGACAGUAUGUGACAGCAUGUCCAAUGAAGACUUUUCUCCUCUAGAUCAUUCAACAUCAUCUUCCCUCACGGACACCAUAUCACUUCCUUCAAGUGACAGUGACCUUA